rnacentral:rRNA from 1 species
AUUGAACGCUGGCGGCAGGCCUAACACAUGCAAGUCGAGCGGAUGAAGGGAGCUUGCUCCUGGAUUCAGCGGCGGACGGGUGAGUAAUGCCUAGGAAUCUGCCUGGUAGUGGGGGAUAACGUCCGGAAACGGGCGCUAAUACCGCAUACGUCCUGAGGGAGAAAGGGGGGGAUCUUCGGACCUCACGCUAUCAGAUGAGCCUAGGUCGGAUAAGCUAGUUGGUGGGGUAAAGGCCUACCAAGGCGACGAUCCGUAACUGGUCUGAUAGGAUGAUCAGUCACACUGGAACUGAGACACGUUCCAGACUCCUACUGGAGGCAGCAGUGGGGAAUAUUGGACAAUGGGCGCAAGCCUGAUCCAGCCAUGCCGCGUGUGUGAAGAAGGUCUUCGGAUUGUAAAGCACUUUAAGUUGGGAGGAAGGGCAGUAAGUUAAUACCUUGCUGUUUUGACGUUACCAACAGAAUAAGCACCGGCUAACUUCGUG